GGUCAAGCGAACAAGUGCAUGUGGUGGAUGCCUUGGCGAUCACAGGCGAUGAAGGACGCGGUAGCCUGCGAAAAGCUACGGGGAGCUGGCAAACAAGCUUUGAUCCGUAGAUGUCCGAAU
rnacentral:rRNA from 1 species